UACGUAGGCAGCGAGCGUUGUUCGGAGUUACUGGGCGUAAAGAGUGCGUAGGCGGUUUUCUAAGUUUAGUGUGAAAUCUCCCGGCUUAACUGGGAGGGUGCGCCGAAAACUGGAAGGCUUGAGUAUGGGAGAGGUAAGCGGAAUUCCUGGUGUAGCGGUGAAAUGCGUAGAUAUCAGGAGGAACACCUGCGGUGUAGACGGCUUACUGGACCAUAACUGACGCUGAGGCACGAAAGCGUGGGUAGCAAACAGG
rnacentral:rRNA from 1 species